rnacentral:misc_RNA from 1 species
AAGUCGUAACAAGGUUUCCGUAGGUGAACCUGCGGAAGGAUCAUUAAAUAUCGGCAUUCGCGCAUGGCAUUCUCACCCUUUGUAUACCGAAACUAUGUUGCUUUGGCAGGCCCCUGCAUUUCUCGGGCCUGCCAGAGGUUGUAAACCCUAGAAUCUCUGCUGUCUGAGUACUGUGCAAUAGUUAAAA